CUUCUCUUUACACUCCACCAAAAUCACCUCAGCGAGCCACAAAUACUUCUUUAUUUUUCAAUUUCGCCAGUUCACUCUUCUAAAACGUUUUUCAAGCUUCUACUUUUCUAUUUUUUCUAUUUGACCAAAAGGCCAAGAGAGAUCAGAAAGCUCACGGCUAAACUUCAAGUCUGUGCUGGUCAACCUCAAGCUCAAUGUCCUUAACUGGAUAGAUACAUAUCUUGGUAUCAUAGGAAAAUUGCAGAUACAUAUAUGCAAGACCAGACUUAUAUAAUACGUAUGGCCUAUAGAUUUGUAACAUAUAAAAAGCAAAAAAAAAAAAUGGGAGCGAGUAAAAAGUGUUAUUUUUGAUGAUAUGAUGAUGAUUGAUGAUAAUAUUUUUGAUGAUGCCUGAUGGUAUGAUAAUGUGAUUGUAUUGUUGUUAAAUGGACGAAAUACAGUAGUAAUAUUUUAUUUUUGUUGGUUUCAACUUUUAAAAAAGAAAAAAGAAAAGAAAUGAUGGGUUAAAUGGUUAAUCAUUAACUUAUUAUCACCUAACUAAAUUGACACAUUGACCCAUUAGU